rnacentral:rRNA from 1 species
AGGAUAAACGCUGGCGGCGUGCCUAACACAUGCAAGUCGAACGUCUCUUCUUUCGGGAAGAGGAGUGGCGGACGGGUGAGGAACACGUGGGAACCUGCCCUUCAGUGAGGAAUACCGGCGAGAAAUCGCCGACAAGACCGCAUAGCCCUCUCUGGUGAGAGCCAGAGAAGGAAAGCCUCGCAAGAGGCGCUGGAGGAGGGGCCUGCGUCCGAUUAGCUAGUUGGUGGGGUAAGAGCCUACCAAGGCGUCGAUCGGUAGCUGGUCUGAGAGGACGAUCAGCCACACUGGGAUUGAGAACGGCCCAGACUCCUACGGGGGGCAGCAGUGAGGAAUUUUCGGCAAUGGGGGAAACCCUGACCGAGCAACGCCGCGUGCAGGAGAAGGCCUUCGGGUUGUAAACUGCUUUUCUUUGGGACGUAGCAAGGACGGUACCAGAGGAAUCAGCCCCGGCUCACUACGUGCCAGCAGCCGC